CAGUAUCUGUGGAGAAAGAACACAGUAUGUUCAUAUAACUUUAAAAAAAAAAAAAAAGGGGGUUUUAUCCAGUCAAGCCUACAAGACAUCACAGAGAGAACUACAUACAUUUACUUAAUUAAAUUAGAAUUUAUUUUUCUGUCUAAGAAAUGCUGUUCUCACUGAACAGAUCAGCCAGCAUCCCUUUUUGUAGCAUUCUGCCCUGCCACUGUGGGGACAGUGAGGCUAUGGACAGCUGAGCUGAGCUGUUUUCACCCACCCAUAGCUAGGAAGGUUGCUUCUGCAUCACUGCUUCUAUUGAGAGCAGUGGAGGGAGAACCAGCAGAAGGAGCUACAGCUAGAGGGUGCUGCUUACCUAACCCAGACAGAAGGAUUUUCUGUUGCUUACACAAGUAAGGGAACAGGGACACUGAAUCCUCCUCUGACUGCUGUUCUCUCUUUGCAGGUGUACCAUACAGGCAGAAGACUGGAAUGUCUUCUGUUAAUUUCCUGCUAUGAAAAGGAGAGCUGUGCAUGGUGCCUGCAUCUGUUAGCAGCAGCAGGAGAUGGGUUGCUUAAGGAGGAUGCUACCUUUUCCUGAUCAAGAUGGGAGAAAUAUUCAACAAGUGGGAUACUGGCCUCCAUGGUGCUCAUCUCCCACCUGUUGGGUUGCCUGUUCUUGCUAGUUCAAGCCUUGCAUUCCUGACUCUUGGAUUUCAAGACAAGAGGCCUUUGUCUCCCACAGAAAAGGAGAACACAUCAGAGGGAAGAAGUGCACAUUCUGCCAAUUGCAUGCAGAAGAGCAGUUUCUGUGAAGUUACCCUGCCCCAUUUGACUGUCUGCACCACCGUCUUGUGCUAGUGGCUCACACAACUUGUGUGCUACAUACCUUGUGUUGUUUUAGACUUACCUGGCAAUGAAAUGGUGGGGGUUUCCCCUUGUUUUAUGCAGAAUGUUUUUGUUCCUUAUAUUAAAGGAAAGCACAGGCUAGGAAGAAAAGGACCACAUUGUGCUGGCCUUCAUUUCACCGCUGGCAAGCCGCAGCACAUUUUGGUGCUAGUGUCACUCAUGAAAUUCAACAAUUCGCUACCUCACUGGAACCAUAGAAAAUUAAAAGGUGUUCUGAAGGAGCCUGCUAGCUUCUGGAAAAGCCUGGAAUCUCCUUUACUGCACACAUGCGCAUACAUCCCGCUGCCUCUUUGCAUCUCUCCUGCAUCAGAGCCUGUAUCGCCCUCCUGUCAGCCCUUAUCGUGCAGCCUCCUCACGCAGCUGGAAACCAAAGCACGAGCUCUUAGUAUUUGUUCUCAUCCUCAGCAGUGCUGCAAGGGGCAGCCUCCCUACGUCUUCUGCUGUACGACACUGAGAGGAGAGCACAGAGGACUGGCCUCAGAAUAAAGGCAGUAUUUAUCCAAACCUUUUCUCUCAAAGCACACGGUUUCUUUGGGGCUUUCAGAUUCGCGGGCAUCAGGGAAAUGCAGCAGCACGUAGUUUUGACUAAUUGGAUGCAUUAUUUAUAACAUCACUGACACACACACAGGGUUUUCAUUUUACAUACUGAAUAGAGAUUGGUGGCAGGCGUGCUGUGGACACAAACUGGGACAAUGACAUUACAUAUGAAUUACUGCUGUAACUGUUCAGCCUUGCCAGGCUACCUGAUCAGACUUAGAAACCUCUUCCCUUGAUGUCAACGGAGGGCCAAAGGCUCUAAUUAACUUCUGAACCUUGAUUAAAUGAAGUAUACAGGGCCUUGAGGUAAGUUAGAAAUCCGACCAGUUUAGACAGGUAAUUUAGCAAAAUAUUACACAGGCAGCCCCAGGAUAACGGCUAGCCGAUAUGAAAAUGUUUCAGAAAUCCAUGCUUGCUCUUUGUUCAUAUUCUUUUUUAGUAGCCAGUUUACUAUUUUUGGUUGCUUCAACAAGGAAGCAAUCUCUGCCGUAAAGAUGUGGGCCUGCUAUAUUCUCCUAGGAAGAAAACUUGGAAUUAAAUUCAUACAUCAUAUUCCUGUCUCCUGACCCUAACUGCAGAACACAUUGAUGCACGUUGCCUUAGUUUCACUGUGUUCCACUUACCUUUGGGUCAUCUGAAAAGCCUCCUGGUACUUGGUUAACUGGAUUCAGCUGAGGUGUCAGCUGGCUGCCACUACAUAAACAAAUAGUAAUAAUGCAAGCUGUGUCUAUAUCAUCAUGGAAAGGGGGAAAUAAAUCUGUUUAUUGUUUAAGGAGAAAAAAACGGGUCAUGACCUAUCUCAAACAUGGCAGAUAUAACCCUAUAUAUGUAACAGUGUAUUUUCUUAAUAAUGUUGUAUAACAGCCCAUGUGCAAGAAGCAGAAAUUCUGUGUCAAAGAUGUCAGAGAUCAAAUAUGCUAAUAAAAGCAUGGUAUCUACUUAAAUAGCUCUUACAUGAGUUAACAUUGAACAGAAUAAAGAAGAAACAAAAACCAACUGUGAGAACAUUGUCUUAAUGCCAUUGCUGCCUGCAAUGUUGGGUAAUAAUCACUUUAUAGGAAGAGGAAGGAAAUACCUGAAAAGAUACCUGAGGAUAUGUUAUUCCAAUUCUGCAUCACCACUCACAGUCUGAAAACUGGAAAAUACAUGUAUAUAUUUUUUUUCUCACAUAAUUUCUAGUUUGAGUUGUUAUGGCACGUAUAGAUUUAAAGGCUAAUAAAAUACCAGUCACAAAGAUGAUAAAAAUGUUUCCAAUACGCUACACUAAUAAGCAGAAUGUACAUCACAAAACUAUUUUGUGUGUUUAUGAUGUAUAUACAUGGUAUA